rnacentral:rRNA from 1 species
UACGUAGGGGGCAAGCGUUGUCCGGAUUUAUUGGGCGUAAAGAGCGUGUAGGUGGCCAGGUAGGUCUGCUGUGAAAACUCGAGGCUUAACCUCGAGCUGUCGGCGGAAACCAUCUGGCUAGAGUCCGGAAGAGGAGAAUGGAAUUCCCGGUGUAGCGGUGAAAUGCGCAGAUAUCGGGAAGAACACCCGUGGCGAAGGCGGGUUCUCUGGGACGGUACUGACGCUGAGACGCGAAAGCGUGGGGAGCGAACAGG